rnacentral:snoRNA from 1 species
AUUCUUUUAUAAUUCAUAAACGUGCAUGUGUGAGAUGUGCCACCCUGGAACCUUGUUACGACGUCAGCACAUUAUGGGUCUGACA